CUAACUCUUCUUUGUAAGCACUUUUGAAUGAAAUAUGAGUUUGCCUUUGCUGAUGCAAUUCCAGCAAAAUGAACUCUGUCAAAAGUCACUUCUCUCGAGCUUUCCAUUCUCCAUCUAGCUUCCUUCCAGAAGGUCGCCUGAACUAGCUUCCAUCCACCGUAGAGCUCUUCAAACCAUCACCUACGUCCUGAUUUCAUCUCUGCUUCACCACUAUCCAUCACGGAAUCCUCCAACUCACACGCCUCUGCAUUCCGCUGUUUCACUGCUACUACACAUGUACGCUGCCUCUGGUUCGAAUAUUCACAUCUUCCGCUGCCUACAAACCACUUCCAUGGCUGGAGCAACUUCAUCAUGUCGUAUUCAGAGCCUUGGUUUUGCAGCACG
rnacentral:lncRNA from 1 species